rnacentral:rRNA from 1 species
GAUGAACGCUGGCGGCGUGCCUAAUACAUGCAAGUCGAACGCUUCACUUCGGUGAAGAGUGGCGAACGGGUGAGUAAUACAUAAGUAACCUGGCAUCUACAGGGGGAUAACUGAUGGAAACGUCAGCUAAGACCGCAUAGGUGUAGAGAUCGCAUGAACUCUAUAUGAAAAGUGCUACGGGACUGGUAGAUGAUGGACUUAUGGCGCAUUAGCUUGUUGGUAGGGUAACGGCCUACCAAGGCGACGAUGCGUAGCCGACCUGAGAGGGUGACCGGCCACACUGGGACUGAGACACGGCCCAGACUCCUACGGGAGGCAGCAGUAGGGAAUUUUCGGCAAUGGGGGAAACCCUGACCGAGCAACGCCGCGUGAAGGAAGAAGUAAUUCGUUAUGUAAACUUCUGUCAUAGAGGAAGAACGGUGGAUAUAGGGAAUGAUAUCCAAGUGACGGUACUCUAUAAGAAAGCCACGGCUAACUACGUGCCAGCCGCCGCCGUAACAC